rnacentral:rRNA from 1 species
UACGUAGGGUGCGAGCGUUAAUCGGAAUUACUGGGCGUAAAGCGUGCGCAGGCGGUGAUGUAAGACAGAUGUGAAAUCCCCCGGGCUCAACCUGGGAACUGCAUUUGUGACUGCAUCGCUGGAGUGCGGCAGAGGGGGAUGGAAUUCCGCGUGUAGCAGUGAAAUGCGCAGAUAUCAGGAGGAACACCCGAGGCGAAGGCGGCUCUCUGGGUCGUACCUGACGCUGAGGCGCGAAAGCGUGGGGAGCGAACGGG